CACCCGUAUCCGUACUAGGAUCCAUAUCCCCGAAUAUUAAAAUUUACAUCUUGAAGGAUCCGACCUCUAGAUCCGCACCAGUGUCGGACACCCGCACCCAUGUCCGAGCAACUUAGCUACAAACCUGAUACUAGACCUUUAGAUUCGCACCCGUGUCGGACACCCGCACCCAUGUCCGAGCAACUUAGCAGGUCACCACUGCCACUAAGCAGUUUUUCACCUCAACCAGGAUGUUCAAACCUAUAAACUGUGCAACUAUUACCCUCAUUCCUAAACUGUCCAAACCAUCUACAGUCAAAGAGUACCUUCACCAAAUGGAUAAUGGAAUGUAUCUCAACAGUGAGCUUCUCUGUGCUAGUUAAUGGAGAGGCAACUGAACCAUUUGCUGUUGCUAGGGGGCUGAGGCAAGAGGACCCCAUUUCCCCCCUCCUAUUUGCUCUGGUCAUGGAGUAUUUAAGCAGAUCAUGCAACUCACUAAAAGAUGAUCCAGCAUACCAGUUCCACCCCAGAUGUAAANNNN
rnacentral:lncRNA from 1 species